GUGUGGGUGGUGUUCAGCAACAAGGACAGGUGUUGGCCUGUGUGUGGAUGGUGUUCAGCACCAGGGACAGGUGUGCUUACCU
rnacentral:pre_miRNA from 1 species